AAAAUAAAUUGAUAUUGAGUAGCGACAAUAUUGACUGAAUUUGUUGUAGUGAAAAAGUUCUCCCAAACACACUACAAAAGCGUCUGAACUAAUUAGUUCAGACGCUUU
rnacentral:sRNA from 1 species